AGUAAAAUAAGCUAAUUAAGCUUUUGGGCCCAUACCCCAAGAAUGUCGGGUAAAACCUUCUUUUACUG
rnacentral:tRNA from 1 species